AUAUCAGUUAAUAAAAAUCUAAUUCUAAUGUAGAUAACACUUCAAAUUUCCACUACUGAAGAAAUGGAACUGCUGAUGGCUGUUCCCUGAUGAAACUUACCCAAAGUCCAAAGCAUAGCUGUGUGGUUUCAUGGGAGGAACAGCGGGACGAUGUGCACCACCUCACAGUGCAGAUGUAGAUGACUGGAUGCGACUCAAAGACAAAGCACACACCAGGGUGUGUAUGGGAAUGGGGCAUGUUCGUGGCACAAUUGCAGCUAAUCAGCUUUCCCUCCGCAUGUAAGGGAGAUACCACACCUCUUCAUGCUACGAUCUUAUUUGGAAAAACAAGCUCAUCCUAAAUGGCCUCCCCUAUCUAUUAUGAACAGACCACACAAAUGUGCAUUGCAUAGUGAGAGCCUGCUAUUUCAUUCUGUGCCACUCCAGUAAAUCCACAUUGCUUUGGUGGGAAGUAUCAUGAUGAUUGUCUCCAAUUAGGUGCAGUUACACUACUUCUGACUGAUUUCCCGGGCAGAAAUGCAUGUGUGCUUGCUGGGUAGCUGACGCACCAUGCAUUUGAUGUUUCAAAGACAGCAAGCACUCCGGGAUUAGCUCAGGAAUCAUGCCAACCUCUGCACCACAUGCUCUUCAGUUCCCCACACAGACUGACUCAGUAGGGGUUGUACAGAUGUACGCAAGCACAAUGGCCUGUUGCUUGGUAAUCCAUGUAAGGAAACAUAGCAUGAUUAGAAAUGUCUGGGCAGAGAGUAGCCUUACCACUAGAGGUAAUUCCAAAACAUCAGUAAUAAAGUAAUUAAAAAAAAAUCUAACGUGCACACUAUCAAUUUACUGCAUACAAGGCUAUAAAAUUAUCUAUCAAGUAUUCGGAAGUCUAAGGACAAUACGAAACCCUAUCUGCUCAAAAUUCAUAACUCAUAACUCGUAGUUUGUAAGAGCCCCAUGCCUGCUGGGGUUCAAGUAGCUUUUGGACAACUCUCUCAGACAUGGUUUGAGUUUUGAGUGGUCCUAUGUGGAGCCAGGAGUUGGAUUUGAUGAUCCUUGUGGAUCCUGUUCACGGCUCUGAAUGCCAGGAGCUGGCUAUUCUGCAUUGCCUGUAAAAAGGGAAACUGUUCAGAAUUCUCCUCAUAAAUGACCUCCCACUUUUCAUUCA